rnacentral:rRNA from 1 species
CGAAAGCCUGACGGAGCAAGACCGCGUGAGGGAGGAAGGCUCUUGGGUUGUAAACCUCUUUUCUCAGGGAAGAAGAAAGUGACGGUACUUGAGGAAUCAGCAUCGGCUAACUCCGUGCCAGCAGCCGCGGUAAUACGGAGGAUGCAAGCGUUAUCCGGAAUCAUUGGGCGUAAAGCGUCCGCAGGUGGCGUAUCAAGUCUGCUGUCAAAGACUAGAGCUUAACUCUGGAAAGGCAGUGGAAACUGGUAGGCUAGAGUACGGUAGGGGUAGAGGGAAUUCCCAGUGUAGCGGUGAAAUGCGUAGAGAUCGGGAAGAACAUCGGUGGCGAAAGCGCUCUACUGGACGGCAACUGACACUCAGGGACGAAAGCUAGGGGAGCG